rfam:Gossypium hirsutum cultivar TM-1 chromosome 8, whole genome shotgun sequence
UGUUAAAAUUUUCAUCAAUUUCUACUGUUAAAUACUAGUGUAGUUGAUGGAAUAACCAAUUAUUACAUUUGGCAUGCCACGUGUGCCUUAUUCCUAUUUAUAGGGACUAGUUUUUAACAAUAGGAAUAGAUGAAAAUUUUAAUA